GCAACGUUCCGGCUGCUCGGGCCUCGGCCCCACAGGGAGCCCUCUGGCUCUGCGGCAGAGCUCCGGCUGAAGCCCUCCGGGGGGCGCCGAGGGCCUGGGGUUGAAGAGCUCUCUCCGAUACCUGAUUCUCCAUCUGGUCCUUGGCCUCCACCUGUUUUGUGGAAUUGAAACCUGGUUCUUCCAAGCUCCCCCAACCGCCUCAUCCUGAACCUGCAUGCCUUUACCCCACACUUCGCCACAGAUCAUCAGAGCCCGCAGAUUGCGUCAGAAGGCUCUGGGGCCAGGCUUAGAGAAGAAAAGAUCCUGGAUGGGCAACUACUUUGGUUCAACCACUUUGAAAGGGAGUUAAAUGUGACCUCGUAAAGUCAGUAUUCACAUGCCCUCUGACUCUCCUAAGUGGAUUCCUAAGAAAAACUCCUACACUUGUCCCCAGGAGAUGGUACCAGGCUGUUCAUAGUAAUCUUACUUACGACAACCACAACAGCAACAAUGGAAGCAACCCAAAUACCCGCUGA